AAAGAAGUUAUUAUACAGUUUUACGAGCACUUUCGUUUAAAUUGGAGGUCAAAAACUAUGUGUAGUUUGCUGAUGCAAAAUGUUGUUCAUUCCCAUGAAACUUGGCAUGUACAAUGUUUCCUUGUAUUUUCCUUAUGGUUUCAGGGCCUUCAAAUGUGCUUCUAUAUACGUAAACAGUCAUUGCAUCUUAUUCCAAAAUGGUGCGAAUUUUAAAAUCGGUACCGGUUUUUGCUCCACACGUGCUAUGAUUCUGAAUCUCGCAUGUGAUUGGCUAAAAUAGGUAAUACCAGUUUGGGAAAUAACAGAUAUAUAUUAGCAAUACUGUAUAAAUUGCAGUGAGUCUUAUUUGAAUAAACAUCAAUAAGACAAAAUCAUGCCAUCUUCCAUCUCGUUCCUGCAAACCGGUUACCGAAUUAUAACCAAAAACGUAUUCAGUUACUGGAAGAAAAAUGUAUAUAUAUUGACAAAAAUUAAGAAACGGUAAGGAAGCUCGAUGAAAUUCAUUAUCUAUGACUAUAUUAUUCUUGGUAAAACGUUAUGGGAAAAUGUGGUCCCUGUUUGUUAUAAUAUGUGCAUUGCAAUAAUUUUUGCCCAAUAUCAACCGAUGGCAAUCUUUAAACCAAGUCAUAGCCUAUCGAAGGGGAGAUGGCUGUGAAACUCAUUAGAAUAACAAUAUAACUCAUUAUCUAUGUUGGUCAACGUUUAUUCAAAAAUCUGGUCCUUCACCGUCACGUGUGUAUUGUAUUUUUACCCAACUAACCAAUAGCAAUGUUUUAGGAAAGUCACCUAUCCGUGACUCGAACAAUAGCGAAACUGGAAAUUGCUAUUGGCGAAUUUGGCAGAAAUACAAUACACGUGACGGUGAAGGAUUUAUGAAUACACGUUGACUAACACAGAUAAUGAGUUAUAUUGUUAUUCUAAUGAGUUUCACAGCCAUCUUCCCUUCGAUAGGCCAUGACCAAGUGAACAGAUCUUUCUCAUAAUGACGUCAGACGCGGAAAAACACUUAAUGCGGUGUUCCACGGUAAUGCAAAUGACGUUACACGCGAAGAACAAGGACCACAUUUUUGAAUAUACACAGUGGCAAAGCUAGAGGUCGUGCUAGUCGUGCUGAGCACGAGUAAAAUUUUUUCAAAGAAAAUAAUUUUUUAGUCUUAAAAAAAAAUUCCCCCA